rnacentral:rRNA from 1 species
CCAGACUCCUACGGGAGGCAGCAGUGAGGAAUAUUGGUCAAUGGGCGGAAGCCUGAACCAGCCAAGUCGCGUGAGGGAAUAAGGCCCUACGGGUCGUAAACCUCUUUUGCCGGGGAGCAAGGGCGGGGACGUGUCCCGGCCCGGAGAGUACCCGGAGAAAAAGCAUCGGCUAACUCCGUGCCAGCAGCCGCGGUAAUACGGAGGAUGCGAGCGUUAUCCGGAUUUAUUGGGUUUAAAGGGUGCGUAGGCGGGCUUUUAAGUCAGCGGUAAAAAUUCGGGGCUCAACCCCGUCCGGCCGUUGAAACUGGUUUUCUUGAGUGAGUGAGAAGUAUGCGGAAUGCGUGGUGUAGCGGUGAAAUGCAUAGAUAUCACGCAGAACUCCGAUUGCGAAGGCAGCAUACCGGCGCUCAACUGACGCUCAUGCACGAAAGUGUGGGUAUCGAACAGGAUUAGAUACCCUAGUA